rnacentral:rRNA from 1 species
AGGUCAAGCGAAGAAGAGCGCAGGGUGGAUGCCUUGGCACUAAGAGCCGAUGAAAGACGUGAUAAGCUGCGAAAAGUCACGGGGAGGAGCAAAUAUCCAUUGAUCCGUGAAUAUCUGAAUGGGGAAACCCACAUGAGAAUACCUCAUGUAUCCAUACGCCAAUCCAUAACGUAUGGAAGGGAACCCGGUGAACUGAAACAUCUAAGUAGCCGGAGGAAGAGAAAGAAAAAUCGAUUUCCAAAGUAGCGGCGAGCGAAAUGGAAAGAGCCCAAACCGGAGUGCGUGCAUUCCGGGGUUCGGACCGCAUAAUUGAUUCAGCAAUUCCAGCAGAACUGUUUUGGGAAAGCAGACCAGAGAGGGUGAAAGUCCCGUAAGCGAAAGAAGAGCUGACAUGGCGGUAUCCAGAGUACAUCGAGACACGAGAAACCUUGAUGGAAUAAGCGGGGACCACCCCGUAAGGCUAAAUACUACUUAGUGACCGAUAGCGCAUAGUACUGUGAAGGAAAGGUGAAAAGGACCCCGGGAGGGGAGUGAAAGAGAACCUGAAACCCUGUGUUUACAAGCUGUGGAAGCACUUUAUAUGUGCGACCGCGUACUUUUUGUAGAACGGUCCGGCGAGUUACGCUUACUGGCGAGGUUAAGGACUUAAGGUCCGGAGCCGAAGGGAAACCAAGUCUUAACAGGGCGAGUUUAGUCAGUAGGAGUAGACCCGAAACCGGGUGAUCUAUCCAUGUCCAGGUUGAAGAUGCCGUAAAAGGCGUUGGAGGACCGAACCCACAUCCGUUGAAAAGGGUGGGGAUGAGGUGUGGAUAGGGGAGAAAUUCCAAUCGAACCCGGAGAUAGCUGGUUCUCCUCGAAAUAGCUUUAGGGCUAGCCUCGUUUUAGUCUUGUGGAGGUAGAGCACUGAAUUUCCGCGGGGGCGUCAAAGCUUACCAAAGAAUAUCAAACUCCGAAUGCCAUUAAGAUGAUGAACGGGAGUCAGACUGUACGAGAUAAGUUGGACAGUCAAAAGGGAAAGAGCCCAGACCACCAGCUAAGGUCCCAAAGUGUGUGUUAAGUGGAAAAGGAUGUGGGGAUUCAAAGACAACUAGGAUGUUGGCUCAGAAGCAGCCAUUCAUUCAAAGAGUGCGUAACAGCUCACUAGUCGAGAGUCCCUGCGCCGAAAAUGUCCGGGGCUGAAACACAACACCGAAGCUGUGGAAUCAUACCUAGUAUGAUUGGUAGAGGAGCAUUCUUAAGACCGACGAAGCUGUACCGAUAAGGAGCAGUGGAGGGAUAAGAAGAGAGAAUGCCGGAAUGAGUAGCGAGAGGAAGGUGAGAAUCCUUCCGGCCGAAUAUCCAAGGAUUCCAGGGUAAAGCUGAUCUGCCCUGGGUAAGUCGGGACCUAAGGAGAGGCCGAGAGGCGUAUCCGAUGGACAACAGGUUUAGAUUCCUGUACCACAUAUGGUCAGAACUGUGGGGACGCAGAAGGAAAGCAUGAGCCAGGAAUGGAAAUACUGGUACAAGCAGAGGGGAUGGUGUGCUGGCAAAUCCGCACACAAAAGUCCUUGCUGUGAUGUGGAGCGAACUAGAGUAGCGAAGCAUGCGGACCGGCUGCCGAGAAAAGCCGCUAUUGUGCCAUAUGUGCCCGUACCGUAAACCGACACAGGUGGAUGAGGAGAGAAUCCUAAGGCCGACGGAAGAAGUAUUGUUAAGGAACUCGGCAAAAUGACCCCGUAACUUCGGGAGAAGGGGUGCCUGAGAAAUCAGGCCGCAGAGAAUAGGCUCAAGCAACUGUUUAGCAAAAACACAGGUCUAUGCAAAACCGAAAGGUGAAGUAUAUGGGCUGACGCCUGCCCGGUGCUGGAAGGUUAAGAGGAGAGGUUAGCGCAAGCGAAGCUUUGAAUUUAAGCCCCAGUAAACGGCGGCCGUAACUAUAACGGUCCUAAGGUAGCGAAAUUCCUUGUCGGGUAAGUUCCGACCCGCACGAAAGGCGUAAUGAUUUGAGCACUGUCUCGACAAUACAUCCGGUGAAAUUGAAGUACCAGUGAAGAUGCUGGUUACCCGCGCCAGGACGGAAAGACCCCAUGGAGCUUUACUCCAGUUUGGUACUGGGAUUCGGUACUGCAUGUACAGGAUAGGUGGGAGACGAAGAAGUUAGGACGCCAGUCUUAACAGAGUCGCUGUUGGGAUACCACCCUUGCAGUAUUGGGUUUCUAACCAGCCGCUGUGAACCAGCGGUGGGACAAUGCCAGGCGGGGAGUUUGACUGGGGCGGUCGCCUCCGAAAGGGUAUCGGAGGCGCUCAAAGGUUCCCUCAGAAUGGUCGGAAACCAUUUAAAGAGUGCAAAGGCAGAAGGGAGCUUGACUGCGACACCGACGGGUGGAGCAGGUACGAAAGUAGGACUUAGUGAUCCGGUGGCAUAAAGUGGGAUUGCCAUCGCUCAACGGAUAAAAGCUACCCUGGGGAUAACAGGCUUAUCACUCCCAAGAGUUCACAUCGACGGAGUGGUUUGGCACCUCGAUGUCGGCUCAUCGCAUCCUGGGGCUGUAGCAGGUCCCAAGGGUUGGGCUGUUCGCCCAUUAAAGCGGUACGCGAGCUGGGUUCAGAACGUCGUGAGACAGUUCGGUCCCUAUCCGGCGCGGGCGUAGGAUAUCUGAGGGGAGCUGGCCUUAGUACGAGAGGACCGGGCUGGACGGACCACUGGUGCAUCAGCUGGAUACCAAAUCCAUAGCUGGGUAGCCAAGUCCGGAAGGGAUAAACGCUGAAGGCAUCUAAGCGUGAAGCCCCCCCCAAGAUGAGAUGUCCCUGUCUAUAAGACAGUAAGACCCCUGAAAGAGUAUCAGGUAGAUAGGGCAGAGGUGGAAGCACGGUAACGUGUGGAGCUGACUGUUACUAAUCGGUCGAGGGCUUGACCAAA